rnacentral:lncRNA from 1 species
CCCGACUCCAGGGCUCCCGCCGGCGCCCGGCCUCGGCACUGCGUCGGGAACGCGGGGAGCCUGCGCUCCCGUGCGUGUGCGUGUGCAUGUGCGUGGGCCAUGUCUGCCCCUGGGCGCGCACGGUUCGGGCGCUGAGCUCGGCCUGGCUUUUGGGCAGGUGUCCCGGUGCACCGUCUGUCUCCCCUGUACCGUCUCGACCGAAUAUCCAGGCUCAUGGCUUGGUUCGUGCCACUGAGGCAUUGUUUAUGGGGAGCAGGCAUUUGCAGAGCAAAUGAAGUGCCAUUUUUGAUUUGGAGUAUAAGGGGAAAUUCCGGUCACCCUGGACAAACUGCUCAAUCCCAAAGCUCUAGAUCUACCAGACUAAUUGGUGCCUUUACGUUUACCCAGGUACAUCCCUCUCUAGCCAUCAUGUUUCCAGAACUAGGUUGCACUUGAUGCUCCCAUGGAGAGAUCUGAUAGCCUGGUAAUGUCAGGACAUCCAUCAACCACUGGCCUGGGACUAAUUUCAUAUGAGUCUAAAGACUUCAGGAUCAAGGAUGAGUGUGCUUGGGAAGCACUCAAGACCAGAGGUGAUGUCGAAGCUGAAGGAACUGGGGAGGGUUGCCAGGGA